CUGGGACCCAAACAAUGGGGCUUCUGUCCCGCCAGGUCUGCCGUCACCUUUUACCUCCCUAUUGUGCAACGCCCUCUCUUCAACAGGUUGGGCCCAGGCCAGAGGUCUCUACCAGCAAAGAGGAUAAAAGAGACUACACCUGGACAAACCCUCCCAGGCCCAGGCCUGAGCCUCACAUGUGGCCCCGGGGAAGGCAUCAGGGACUCCCUUUGCCCUCCCACUGACCUCCCUGCAAACCUCCCCCAAACCAAGGGGCAUCCUCAGCUGGCCAGACCCUGGGGGAAGGGAGAGAGCCGAGGAUCACCGGCACCUGUGGCUGGGUUACCCCUGCCAUGGACCACUGGGUGAUCAAGAAGUCAUUCCAAAAUGUGAAGCGUUCUGAAGAUAUGCACAUAGCGUAAGAACCUGGUGUAAUGUGCUGGUCAAGGCGGUCUCAGAGAGGAGAUGACGUUUGAGCUGACACCUGAGGGAUGAGAAGAAAGCAGCCAUUCCCAGGGCCCAGGGGAGGCAUCCCAGGAAGCCGGAUCAGCAUGAGCAAAAGCCCUGAGGCCUGGCACAAGUUGGUCUGCUUGAGAAGCAGGAGAGAGCCCUGAGCAUCCGGAGUGCAGCAAGCGAGAUGAGCAAGUCAAGAUGCAGAAGGACUCUCUGGCUUGUCCAAGGUCACACGGCUGUUAGGAGCAGAGCAGCGUCCUGGUGCCCAAGCCCUGAGGUCCCCAGCACACUGCCUCUGCAAUGGCCACAACUGUCCAAAGACUAAGCUGACUCUCACACCUGGUAGUGUCUGUGGUCAUUCACUGUGGAUGGAAGUGGAGAAAUGCAGAAAACAGAAACACAGCUUCCCCUUUUCUGUCAUAUUUCUGUAUCGUUGGUGUUUGGAGCCAGUUGAGCACAAAGGGCCCCUGAGUGCUGUUUCCUUGUGAUAUUUGGGGGUUAACAGCUUCCCCUCAUCUCUUAAUUACCUGCCCUCCUUCACUUCAGCUGCACAUUCGUUAAAGAAUGCUCUCCCAGGAGAAGAGCUUGGUGUUAUCACCCACAAACAUCUUAGAAAACUAAUGCUAUCCUUGAGUGCCUGUUUACAGAAACAUUUUUACAUCUCACUUGACAUUUCCAGCAAAUCUUGAUCCUUCCAGCCAGGAAUAUUAAUAUAUAGGUCUUGAAAAGUGCAAGAGGCUCUUCCAUGGCUCCAAGCACAUUUGACACUCUUCCUUUUCUGAUCCCCAAGCAGACAGUGAUGAAACCCCAAUAGCUGGGCGAAUACUCAUCCAACAGGAAGAAUCAGUUUUAAGAGCUGGGUUCUCAGGGUCAAAUACUGUGGUGUGGCCUUUUGGUUGUAAUGAGUUGAAUGGAGGUCUCAAAAAAGAUAUAUCCAUGUUCUAAUCCCCAGAACUUGUGAAUGUGACCUUAUUUGGAAAAAGAGUCCUUUUGGAUGUAAUUAAGUUAAGGAUUUUGAGAUAAGGAGAUCAUCCUGGGUUAUCUGGGUGGACCCUAAAUCUGUUGACAAUGUCCUUAUGAGAGACCCCAGAGGGCACAGACAGGAAAGGAAGAGGCAAUGUGGCCCCAGAGGCUGAGAUCAGAGCUCUGUGGCCACAAUUCGAGGAACACCUGGAGCCACCAGAAGCUGGAGGAGGCAAGGAACAGAUUCUCCCUGAUCCUCUGGAUACAGAGGGAGAAUAGCCUGGCCGACACCUUGAUUUUGGACUUCUGGCCCCCAGAACUGAGAAAAUUAACUUCUGUUGUGUUAAGCAGCCACGUUUGUAGCAGUUCAUCAUAGCAGCCCUGGGAAAGAAAUACAGUGGGCUUCCAGUUCAAGGAGGAUCCACGAGGCCUGAGCUCCAUCUGUCGAUUGGAAUCACCAAAAUCAAGGUUGUGUGCGGGUAACGCCAGCACAAGCAGCUCAUGCUGGCAAAAGCAGACCAAACCGGCUCACGCAACGUCAAGUCAUCUUGAAGUGGUUCACGCACCACAGUGAGUGGUAUUGAUUGUGGUUAAGAGCCAGGUUCAAGGAGGUUUAUCACUCAGUAGCCAGGUAAAGCAGGUUCCAGGCCUGGCUCCACCACUCAACAACCGGGGAAACAGGGGAGCAGACCUGCAGAGGGGCCAGAAGACACCUGGCCGGGUGGGGAGCAGCCCCUCCGUAAUAACAAUCGGAACCUGGGAAGAUAAGUAGAGUCCCAGGGGAGGGACAGAGUUUCCCCUGUGUCACCACAUGGCUACUUUGACACAAAUGCACGUGGGCAGAGAGAGGCAUGCAGGUCAAGGGCCUGGCAGGGAGUCAGGGGCCCUCAGUGCCAGUCCUGGCUCUGCCUCUGCCUCUGACACGCCAUGUGACCUUGAGCAAGUCACCACCCUGUCUGGGCUUCGCUAACCCAUAUACGGAAUGAGAAGGUAUCGUCCCUGGUCACUGCAGGUUUUAAAUCAUGUAGUGAGAGAGAGCUCAUUUGGUCCAACUCUCUGCAACUGAAGGAAUGGAGACACCAAGGGGGAGUAAUCGGCCGCAGUGAUGAGUGGGUGGCAAAGGGAGCUAUCACUACCAUUGAUUAUCCAGCUACUUGUGCUUGAUAAACUCCCUCCUGGUGGAAUGGGCUUUCCCACAUCCAGCAGCACAAAUGCUGUGAGCAUCUACUACGGGCUGGGCACCUUCUCUGGGCUGGCACUUGACAUGGGUUAUCUCAUUUAACUCCCUAACAACCCUAUGUGGUAUUAUCAUCCCCAUUUCACAGGCGGCAAAACUGAAUCCCAGAGAGAAGACUCACUCAGACACAGCUAUCUGAACACUCUUUUCCAGUUCCCCUAGGGCAGCAGAGGAAGCAAGGUGGGGGGAAGCCAGUGGUCAAGGAUUCCAUGCGGAAUGUACCCUAGAAUUAACCCAUGGAGAGAGGGGUCUCGCUCUGUUGCCCAGGCUGUAGUACAAUGGUGCAAUCUCGGCUCACUGCAACCUCUGCCUCUGGGUUCAAGCGAUCCUUUGCCUCCGCCUCCUGAGUAGCUGGAAUUACAGGCAUGCACCAUGAUGCUUGGUUAAUUUUUGUAUUUUUAGUAGAGUCAGGGUUUUGCUAUGUUGGCCAGGCUGGGCUCCAACUUCUGGUCUCAAGUGAUCCACCCGCCUCGGGCUCCCAAAGUGCCAGGAUUACAGGCGUGAGCCACUAUGCCUGGCCAAAAGUGGCGAUGUGUUCUUAAUGCCCAUUUUCACAUAAAAGGCUUCCAGGAGGGGCCUCCCUGGGCUCCCGGAGGACACCCACAGUCCUCACCAUGCAGCUCCCUCCAACAUCAAGCCAGGAAUGGCCGAACAGAUCUUUCUCAUGCUUCAAAUCUCUGAUGAAUUUCUCUUGCCAGAGAAAGCUUGCCAUUUUCCAAGGGCUCACCCAGUCAGAUCCGUCCAACAAGGGUGAUCUCCCUAACAUUAGGUUAACUGACUUGGAACCUCAGUUAAUCUGCAAAAUCCCUUUUGUCAUAUAAUGGAAUACAAUCAUUUGGUUCACAUGCUCAUCUUAUUCACAGGCCCUACACUCAUACAAGGGCAGGGGACCACAGAAGAGUGAAGGCCAGUGAGGGUCACCUCAGAAUUCUGCCCAACACCGGUGUUUUGUAAUUUGGGUAGAUGUUGCCAUGUUGUCCUCCGUGGGGAUUAUGCAGAGGGAACUCUCCUCCUCCAGCAACAGUACAUGUACCUGCUUUUCCAUGGUGCUGCUUAGAGAAUGUUAUCAAACCUUUGGAUUUCUGCCAGUCUGAUAGGAGAAAAAUGGAAUCUCAAUUGUAUUUUAAAAUUGUAAUUAUCGCCUUAUGAAUAAGGCUGAGCAUUUCCUCAAAAGCAUAAGAGCCAUUUAUAUACUUUUUUCUUUAUGGCUUCUGGUUUUGAGGCAUAGAAAGGUCUUUCUAGCUCUAAAGUUAAUCAGAAAUUCUCUGUUUUCUUUUUGCUUUUUUUAAAAUUUUACUUUAAGUCCUUGGAUACAUGUGCUGAACGUGCAGGUUUGUUACAUAGGUAUACAUGGGCCAUGGUGGUUUGCUGCACCUAUCAACCCGUCAUCUAGGUUUUAAGCUCCACAUGCAUUAGGUAUUUGUCCUAAUGCUCUUCCUCCUCUUUCCCCAUGCCCCCAACAGGCCCCGGUGUGUGAUGUUCCCCUCCCUGUGUCCAUGUGUUCUCAUUGUUUAGCUCCCACUUAUGAGUGAGAACAUGCAGUGUUUGGUUUUCUGUUCCUGUGUUAGUUUGCUGAGGAUGAUGGUUUUCAGCUUCAUCCAGGUCCCUGCAAAGGACAUGAACUCAUUCUUUUUUAUGGCUGCAUAGUAUUCCAAGUUGCAUAUGUGCCACAUUUUCUUUAUCCAGUGUAUCAUUGAUGGGCUUUUGGGUUGCUUCCAAGUCUUUGCUAUCGUAAGUAGUGCUGCAAUAAACAAAUGUAUGCAUGUGUCUUUAUAGUAGAAUGAUUUAUAAUCCUUUGGGUAUAUACCCAGUAAUGGGAUUGCUGGGUCAAAUGGUAUUUCUAGUUCUAGAUCCUCGAGGAGUCGCCACACUGUCUUCCACAAUGGUUGAGCUAAUUUACACUCCCACCAACAGUGUAAACGUGUUCCUAUUUCUCCACAUCCUCACCAGCAUUUGUUAUUUCCAGACUUUUUAAUGAUUGCCAUUCUAACUGGCAUGAGAUGGUAUCUCCUUGUGGUUUUGAUUUGCAUUUCUCAGCUCAUUGCAACCUCUGCCUCCCAGGUUCAAGCAAUUCUCCUGCCUCAGCCUCCAGAGUAGCUGGGAUUACAGGGGCACGCCACCAAGCCCAGCUAAUUUUUGUAUUUUUAGCAGAAACAGGGCUUCACCAUGUUGGCCAGUCUGGUCUCAAACUCCUGAUCUCAAGUGAUCCAUCCACCUCAGCCUCCCAAAGUGCUGGGAUUAUAGGCGUGAGCCACCACGGCUGGCCAUUCUCCUGUGUUUUCUUCUGGGGCUUUUAUACUUUCAUUUUUUAAAAUCCAUAGUUUCUUGGAGCUGGAGGUGUCCCUUGUCAUUUUCUCAUCAGUGAGUGCAAAGCAGGAUCCCAAAAGGAUUGGAGUCCAGAGUAGAGAAAGGAGCUGCCGCGGUGGAGUCUGUUCAGUGCAGGCUCUGAUCUCCUUCAGCCCUGCCAGGAAUCCCAGCCAGCAGAUCUUCUUCCAGCUUCCCUUUCUCCAGCACUCUUGAUCUUCUGGGCUGGCACAGGGUCCAGGGUUGAUGGGGAUCCUAGCUGCCUGAGGAGCUUCCAGUCUGGAGGGUGAUACAAGCACAUGGCCAGACCUGAAUUCAAGCCAUGAGAGAGAUUCAGAACCUGGGCUGGGAGCGCAGGGGAGGGAGCGGGGUGCUGAUGGGGGUGGAUGGGAGGCUCCAGAGAGGAGGUGGCGUCUGAACUGAACCUUAAGAAUGAGGGGAAAUGUAAUGGCAGCGAUGAGAAAGGGGAGGCACUUCAGUGCAGAGAACAGCAAGAGCAAAGACAAGGAGGUGGAAAAUCAGCCAGAAACCUAGCCUGGAGAGGGUUUAGUGGACCAUGGGUCCUUGAUGGUAGAGACACAACAUGACUUAUCUCUGUGUCCCAUCCUCUGUGCCAGAGGCGGCAUCGACCAGACUUGGACAAAUGAAGCAGAAGGGACAGGGGACUUAGAAUACUAGGCUGCAUCAUUUUCUUUUUACUCUGACAGUGAGAAGCAAAGACCUCCACAAAGAAAGAAGCCCUUGGCUGUGUCAUCAUUUUAGAAUCUGGGCACUCUCUGCACACCACUGCCCCCUCAUGGCUGAUCUAGGAAUUCUCUCUAAAUCCCAGACUGAAGGUGAGGAGGAGGCUCAGUGAGUCUUAGAGAUUUGAAAAGCCGUGAAAUCCUGGUUGGAGAACAUCUGAGUCCAAAGGGCCCUCAGAGACUCUCUGACUUCCUCAUUA
rnacentral:lncRNA from 1 species